GAUGAACGCUGGCGGCGUGCCUAAUACAUGCAAGUCGAGCGAACAGACGAGGAGCUUGCUCCUCUGACGUUAGCGGCGGACGGGUGAGUAACACGUGGAUAACCUACCUAUAAGACUGGGAUAACUUCGGGAAACCGGAGCUAAUACCGGAUAAUAUAUUGAACCGCAUGGUUCAAUAGUGAAAGACGGUUUUGCUGUCACUUAUAGCUGGAUCCGCGCCGCAUUAGCUAGUUGGUAAGGUAACGGCUUACCAAGGCAACGAUGCGUAGCCGACCUGAGAGGAUGAUCGGCCACACUGGAACUGAGACACGGUCCAGACUCCUACGGGAGGCAGCAGUAGGGAAUCUUCCGCAAUGGGCGAAAGCCUGACGGAGCAACGCCGCGUGAGUGAUGAAGGUCUUCGGGUCGUAAAGCUCUGUUAUUGGGGAAGAACAAAUGUGUAAGUAACUAUGCACGUCUUGACGGUACCUAAUCAGAAAGCCACGGCUAACUACGUG
rnacentral:rRNA from 1 species